rnacentral:rRNA from 1 species
AGCGGACUCCUCUCCGCCACCACGCAGAACACCGCCGCCACAACCGGCGUCGACCUCUCCUCCGACGAGAGCCGCCGCCGCCUCGUCAACAGUCUGGUGUACAGGAGCAAGCAGAGGGGUUUCCUGGAGCUGGACCUGGUGCUCGGGAUCUAGGUGGAGCAGCACAUCUGCUCCAUGGACGAGGCCAACAUCUGCUCUUUGCUCCAAGUCCUCAACCUCGAGAACCCAGAUUUGUGGAAAUGGCUUACUGGUCAAGAGGAACCACCAGAGGCUGUCAAUUCUAAUCCUGUGUUUGUUGCCAUCAAGUCGAAUGUUGCAGAUAACCUGAGCAAGCAUCGGGCCCCUUCUGUAAGAGAGAGAGAGGUGAGAUGUGUCGGGAUCGCGCGGCUUAAGUGGAGACGGGUUGAAGUUGAAUUGCUUUCCACCGGUGAAAGCGUACUCCGCAAACCCGCGCUCGGUGUCAGCAGUGCGGGUUGGCUCGGACCGAAGCCGCAGCCGCAGUCCCCAGAACGGUCCAAGGCCCAGACAGAUCUGGAGCUGCGCGGCCCGGCACCGCAGUGCCUUUUCUUUUGGGUCCUCCUAAUCGGCGCUGCAGGUGCCCUUUCGUGGAACGGGCGCUCGCGCACCGCAUACUUGGGCCGGCACAUCUUGCCGGGCGCUCGCCGCUUCUUUCUCGAUCGCUCGCUGCUUCUUUCUUGA